AACUCCUGCUCUUUCUAAAACUCCGCCUUCAGGAAGUCACCAACAUCACUCCCCUAUUAGCCCUUUAAUACCGUCUUUACCAGCGUUGCGCUGAGAAGUGGGUCCUAUAAUGAGCUCAGCAUGAUGUGUAGUUCCACCAGGUGCUUGCUAAUUGUGGCUGGCUAGUCUGAAGGAGCUGUCCUAAACACCGACCAGGCGUUUUGGUCAGCUGAACGGUUGCCAUGGGAGUCUAAAGGAUUUUUGAAACAUGCAUGAAAGAAUCAAGGCAACACUCCAGGUUUUCCAUGAACGGCACAUAUUCAAAAGAGGACAAAGGAGGGAGUCUCUUCCACCGAGGAGGAGAGCCGGUUCAAAGGAGCCAAUUCAUGCAAAUGAUGACGCGAGAUAUGAGGCCUUUUAGACAAAGAUGAAAUGUCCUGGGAAGGACAAGCUUUGAAGUGAUACAAGUGGGAUCCCUGGAAGAAGAUCAUCCAAGUCAAGAGGCUCCAAAAAUGUGAGCCACACAUCGCGAAUAAGCAAAGUGACGGUUGUAAAACGGGCCAGCGGGAUGAAAAGAGGCUGAAGCAGCUAUCUGCGUCCAUGCAAAGCAUCGCGUUACACCUGCUGUCAUCCUCCGACUUCACUCCAUACAAGGCGGCAUGAAUAAUUCAGCKACCCCUCCGCUUUGUCAACUACUACACCUCUGUUUGAGAUGAAGAAASGCUCAAGCUGCAGACAACGCUCAUGAAAUUUCAUUGCCUCGCUGUGCGGGAGASAUUCUUCACUUAGAUGGAGGAGGAAAAUAAAAAAAAGUGCAGCCCUGUCACUCACAAAGCAGACCACAUGGUCCCUUCCUCCUCAUCUUCAGCCUCUUCUCCACUCUACAGCAAAGAACGCUACAAACUCUUCAGGAGAGACAAAUAAACAGAAGCAGAUGCAGUAGAACA